rnacentral:tRNA from 1 species
GGAGUUGUGACUCAGUGGUAAGAGUGCUUGCCUUGCAAGCACAAGACCCUGGGUUCGAUUCUCAGCACCA